UGUUCUCAGGGCAGGGUGAAAUUCCCGACCGGCGGUAACUUUUCAAAGCCAAAAGCUUAUGGAGAGAAGCCCGCGAGCGCCCUUAAAAUCAGAAGCUCCAUUUUAAGAAUACUUUUGUAUAUUAAGGGGUCAGCAGAUCUGGUGAGAUUCCAGAGCCGAAGGUAACAGUCCGGAUGGGAGAGGAUG
rnacentral:ncRNA from 1 species